rnacentral:rRNA from 1 species
GACGAACACUGGCGGCGUGCUUAACACAUGCAAGUCGAACGGUAAGGCCCUUCGGGGUACACGAGUGGCGAACGGGUGAGUAACACGUGGGUGAUCUGCCCUGCACUUCGGGAUAAGCCUGGGAAACUGGGUCUAAUACCGGAUAGGACUCCUGGCUUCAUGGUUGGGGGUGGAAAGCUUUUGCGGUGUGGGAUGGGCCCGCGGCCUAUCAGCUUGUUGGUGGGGUAAUGGCCUACCAAGGCGACGACGGGUAGCCGGCCUGGGAGGGUGACCGGGCACACUGGGACGGAGAUACGGCCCAGACUCCUACGGGAGGCAGCAGUGGGGAAUAUUGCACGAUGGGCGCAAGCCUGAUGCAGCGACGCCGCGUGAGGGAUGACGGCCUUCGGGUUGUAAACCUCUUUCAGCUAUGACGAAGCGCAAGUGACGGUAGUAGCAGAAGAAGGACCGGCCAACUACGUGCCAGCCGCCGCAGUAA